UGAAACCGUUUAGGGGUAAACCUGAGAAACCCGAAAGGUCGAAGGGAGAAAUUCAUUCGCGUUUCGACGUUGGCGUGGAACGGAGUCUCGUGUGACGGAACACGUUUUUCGGAACGAGUUUCGCACCCUUCGUUCUUCGAACCGACGACGAACGCGUGCACUUUUCUCCUGGUAGGACGUCGCGAUCCGUCGGGUGUCGGUCUACGACUUGCGGUGGAGCCCGUUCGUCGUUUCGUUACGUACGGACGGACCCGCAAUGUUUUUCCGGCCGACUCGCUCGACGGUAUACUUACGGUCGGAGGCCGCUCACAAUUUUCAAGGAGCGUUCGACUCGUCGCAAGCGCGCCACGUGCGUCGGCACGCGGACCUAGUGCCGCGUUCGACCUCUGGUGACUGUUGGCGACGACGUUCUCGAACAGACCUCAUUUUUUUUUUUUUUCGAAAAGAAAAAAAGACCGAUCGGCGACGCUAUAGCUUUGGGUACUUUCAGGACCCGUCUUGAAACACGGACCAAGGAGUCUAGCAUGUACGCGAGUCAUUGGGAAUCACUAAACCUAAAGGCGUAAUGAAAGUAAAGGUCUUCCUUUAGCGAAGACCGAGGGAAGACGGACGGUCGCGCGUUUCAUUACAAACGCCGUCCCGCAUUCCCGGGGCGUCUCGUUCACAUUGCGUGAAGAGGCGCACCAUGAGCGUACACGCUGGGACCCGAAAGAUGGUGAACUAUGCCUGGUCAGGACGAA
rnacentral:rRNA from 1 species